CGACGUCAGAACCUAUCGCACGGGAAAAAAUCUGAUCCCAUUAUCAUGAUUUACGAAUCAUGAAAAUUAUAAAUUGCUCUUGGGACGAAAUCAUGAUUCAGACUCAUGAUUUUUGAAGCUGAGCUACCACUAUCAUGAUUCAGAGCAACCAUUUUCAUGAGCUCCAAAUCAUGACCAUGAAAAGCGUUACGCACACGGUGCACCUGUCAAAACGUGUUCAGCAAAGCUUGUGCAAAGCAUAGUUGGCUGCGCAUUCACGGAAAAGUUGCCCUUUUUUUAAAAAAAAGUUCACUUUUAUUGCCGGUUUCCUGCGCCGCUGUUGCUCUACUGUCGUUCCUGCUCUACUAUUCCGUUCCUGCUCCGUUGAUAUCGAGCUAUUCCGGCUCUGCAGAACUACCGCCGUUUCAUUCUGUUCCUUUCCUGCCGUGGCUGUUGCCCGUUCCGGCUCCUGUGUACCCGUUCCGGCUCCGCAUUGAGGGAAAAUUCUUCCGGCUCCGCUCUACUAACAACCGGUAAGUGAUACAAAAUUAAUCCAUUUUUGCGCCUGUAAUCGAAAUCCAUUUUGACCAUUUUCCACCGUCUUCUCUUUUUAGCCGUUUUAUUGUCCCAGUGCCACUGUCGCCAUUCCCGCCGCGGCUGUUGCCGUCCAAUAGGUGCAUCCGAUCCGGCUCCGCAUUGAGUGACCAGCUCCGCCCUACCAACUACCGCUCCCGAUUUUGUUGCCGUUCCGGACGUUUCGUUUUCAGCCUUGGCUGGUUCCGCCCAGUAGGUGUUCCCGUUCCGACUUCCCCCACAACUACCGAACGCAGGUGAUAUAGAAGGGAGGAUCGAGCGGCGACUGAACCAUCUCCGCGAAAAAUUUGGGGAAUCAUCGCUACAACCUCAAAUUGUCGCAGUGGGCACGAGCAACUCAACAAAAGCAACGAUGGUUAUUUUU